rnacentral:tRNA from 2 species
UUUUUUUUUCUUUUAUUAUAA